CGCGUAGGUGGUAGUGAAAGUCUAUGGUGGAAUCUUAGGGCUUAACCCUAAAACUGCCUUGGAAACUUCAUUACUUGAGUCAGUGAGGGGAGGGUAGAAUUCCUGGUGUAGCGGUGAAAUGCGUAGAUAUCAGGAGGAAGGCCGGUGGCGAAGGCGGCCCUCUGGCGCUGAACUGACGCUGAGGCGCGAAAGCGUGGGUAGCAAACAGGAUUAGAUACCCUGGUAGUCCACGCCCUAAACGGUGGGUACUAUGUGUAGGGCUCGUAAGGGUUCUGUGCCGAAGGGAAACCAUUAAGUACCCCGCCUGGGGAGUACGGCCGCAAGGUUGAA
rnacentral:rRNA from 1 species